rnacentral:lncRNA from 1 species
UUUACAUUCUAUCUUCUCCUCUCUCAAACCUGGAGCUUUCUGAUCUGAUUGGAACUUAUUUUUAGUAAAAAAGUUAGCUAGGACCCUUUGUAAGUGUCUUAGCCCUCUCUAUAGUUCAGUUUUAUGUUUUAAAAACCGAAAAGUCAAGUUAUCGUAAAUUAGCUUUGACUUUCGGUUUAAUCAUAAAUGGUCCAGCCACUGACCGAAACGAAAGUGGUUAUGGAACCAUAUUAGGAUAGGUGGUUAACCCUUAAAAGGGCACCUCAUAAUUAUUUCGUCUGACUAGUUAAUUGUUGGGUCAAACUAGUUAGUCAAAAAGUCAAACUGGACAGAAAGUUUAAAAAAUAAUUUAAAUAAAUAAAACAGAGGUUCUAAAUUAUAUUUUAACAUUCUAAUGACUUAGUAAUUAAUAUUAGAACAUGUCUAAUCAGUCCUAACCCGGCAAUUAUCAGUCUAAGGUCAGUUUAUAACCGAAAGUCGCAAAAGCUUGACUUUUGCUUUGACUUUCAGUUCUGACCCGUUUAAGCUUGAUUCUUCCAUAUUUUAAGCUUCCAUUAGGACCGUAUUAUAUAGUAGUAUAACCUCCUGAGGUUAUAUUACCUGGUCCUUAGUAGUUUGAAUUAUAUGCACAUGUCCGUUAUUAUGCUUAUAAAUGCCAUAAUUGCCCUUUUGACAUAUAAAUGAGAUUUUUAGAAAUGUGAGUAGACAAAAACCUUUGUUACUGAUAUAUAAGUAUGUCCCAAAAAUUUCACAUCAGUUCUUGGUCUCAAAUAGAAGUUAUGCUCGAUAUCGUAAAUAGAAGCUUUUUAUUAAGUAAAUUGCGAUAUCUUGCAUAAGGCAUGUUUAAACUUGGAUUUUGACCCAAAACUCAUUACCUAUUGUUAAAAUAUUAUUUUUAGGGAUUUUUGGAAUUUUUUAUCAGAUUAUAAUCUGAUCGUAUCAUGGAGUUCUUGUGUAAUUCGGUAAAUGACGAUAAUACCCUUUUCAUGCAUAAAAUGAGAUUAACAAUUGAUUUGAAUGCCAAACCUUUUCCUACUGAUUUCAUACAUUAAAUAAAUUAUUUUGGGCAUUCAAAACUGAUCAAAAUCUCAGAUUUCCGUAAAACACCUUAAUUAUCGUCAAUUAGCGAUUUUACGCUAUUUAGGCGCAUAGUAUGGUUUUAAACCAUAUUUAACACCUAAGAAUUAUUACCUACUGAACUUUAAAGUAAAUUUUAAUAUUAUUACAGUAUGUAUAAGUCAUGAACUCAGACUUCCAAAAUUAUCCCUAAAAGCCUAUGUGAAAUGACCAAAAUACUCUUUCGGGGCAUAGUUUGGCCAUAAUUGGUAAACCUCACAUAUAUAUAAUAUCUUACUGAUGUAAUGGGAUAAAAUAAAUAUUUUUACUGAUUACCAAAGACCAGAACCUCAGUUUGCUUUAAAACCUCUUUUAUAAAGGUAAAAUGACCAAAAUGCCCCUACGGGACUUAAUUUGGUUUUAAAUACUUUUUGGGCAUAUAUGUUAACAUCCUACUGAUGUGUUAACAUAUUCUAAGCAUAAUAACAUAUGGGACUUGUAUAUGGUUCAUUUGGUUGCCCGUUACGCAUUUACGCGUUCAGAUCGGUUUAUGUAACUAGUUACGUAAGUUUGCCGAAACGGGUUUAACCUUAUCGUUUUUGCUUGAAAAUCCAGAAUGUACUUAGUUUACCCAUAUUAUACAAGUCUUCGUACUUGUCGGGUCUAAAUUACAUUCUAUUCCGGUCAUCGCUUAAUCUAGCGUAUCGUACCGCUUUAGAUACUUUAAGCUAGCCGGUCUAAGUCUAUGACUUCAAUAAGACCGUUAGCGUUCUAAAUUUGGUUAUAUAUUACCAUCACUUCAGACUAGAGCCACCCGGUAAAAGCUACCUGCAUUUAGAUAGAUUGGAUACGACUGAGUUAUUUUGCUGUGAAUCAAGUAUUAGCUCAGGUAAAUACUUUUAACUUAUUUUCCCUUAUACGGGCUUGGGAUAUGGUAUUAUAAUAAUACCACUUGGUCGGGUAUGAAAUCACUUAAUCGGAUUGUGAUUAAUAAAUUUACAUAAUCCAUUUUAAUCUGUCUUGUUUGAUAACAUAAACGUUGGGGGUUAAUUCGACCGUGUCCUGGAUAUCCUCGGCUCAUUUCAUUUGAAAAUGGCCACGACCUAUGCACGGGGUAUACGCAUACACCUAACAGAUGCAAAUGCUAAAUAAUAUAUAAACCCACAUGUCGGGGAUAACUCCUUUGUGGGUUCUAUAAGUGGUGAGUCGGUUAAUCACGACCGGCUUCCAACCGGCCCCAAUUGUAUGACAAACAUGUAAAUCUGUAUACAAGAUUAUUUAAAUAAUUGUCCCAAGUAUAAAUGGUACUACUCGUAAUAGGCUGGGGGAUUGCUCGGUGUCGAAAUAGAGGAUCUUGCAAAUCCUUAAAGAUGACUUAAAGUCUGCUAAACUUCAUUUUAUACAUUCUGUAAAGAUCCACCUGUGGAUUUGAUAUUACAGGCUCGUCUAUAAUAAAUACUUUGAUAUUUUCAGAUGUUUGAGUUUGUAAUAAUAUUUUAUAU